rnacentral:tRNA from 1 species
CGCACCCAUAGCUCAGUUGGAAGAGUGUCAGUUUCCGAAGCUGGAGGUCACAGGUUCGAUCCCUGUUGGGUGCGCCAA